rnacentral:rRNA from 1 species
GGCCUACCAUGGUGGUAACGGGUAACGGGGUGUUAGGGCACGACACCGGAGAGGGAGCCUGAGAAACGGCUACCACAUCCAAGGAUGGCAGCAGGCGCGCAAAUUACCCAAUCCCGACACGGGGAGGUAGUGACAAUAAAUAACAAUACAGGGUUCUUUCGGAUCUCGUAAUUGGAAUGAGUACAAUUUAAAUCUCUUAACGAGGAGCAAUUGGAGGGCAAGUCUGGUGCCAGCAGCCGCGGUAAUUCCAGCUCCAAUAGCGUAUAUUAAAGUUGUUGCAGUUAAAAAGCUCGUAGUUGAAUCUCGGGACCAAUUUGUUGGUCGUGCCUCGGUACGUACUGGUAUUAUUGGUUUCUCCCUUCUGAAGAACCUCGAUGUCAUUAAUUUGGUGUCGUGGGGAAUCAGGACUGUUACUUUGAAAAAAUUAGAGUGUUUAAAGCAGGCAUACGCUUGAAUACAUUAGCAUGGAAUAAUGAAAUAGGACGUUUGAUUCUAUUUUGUUGGUUUCUAGGAUCGACGUAAUGAUUAAUAGGGAUAGUUGGGGGCAUUAGUAUUCAAUUGUCAGAGGUGAAAUUCUUGGAUUUAUUGAAGACUAGCUACUGCGAAAGCAUUUGCCAAGGAUGUUUUCAUUAAUCAAGAACGAAAGUUAGGGGAUCGAAGACGAUCAGAAACCGUCGUAGUCUUAACCAUAAACUAUGCCGACUAGGGAUCGGAUGAUGUUGAUUUUUUAAUGACUCAUUCGGCACCUUACGGGAAA